UAGAGUUUGAUUCUGGCUCAGAACGAACGCUGGCGGCGUGGAUAAGACAUGCAAGUCGAACGGGACUUACUUAGUAGCAAUAUUCUGAGGUUGGAGUGGCGCAAGGGUGAGUAACACGUGGGUAAUUUGCCCUGAAGUUGGGGAUAACUCAUCGAAAGGUGAGCUAAUACCGAAUGUGUAUUCCGGGGGGCAUCCUCUGGAAUACGAAGCUGGGGACCGAAAGGCCUGGCGCUUCAGGAUAAGCCCGCGUCCUAUCAGCUAGUUGGAGGGGUAACGGCCCACCAAGGCAAUGACGGGUAGCUGGUUUGAGAGGAUGGUCAGCCACACUGGAACUGAGACACGGUCCAGACACCUACGGGUGGCAGCAGUCGAGAAUCAUUCACAAUGGGCGAAAGCCUGAUGGUGCGACGCCGCGUGGGGGAUGAAGGUCCUAGGAUCGUAAACCCCUGUCAUCUGCAAACAAACCUCCUGGUUGAAUAUUCCAGGAGCUGAUAGUAGCAGAAGAGGAAGGGACGGCUAACUCCGUGCCAGCAGCCGCGGUAAUACGGGGGUCCCAAGCGUUGUUCGGAUUCACUGGGCGUAAAGGGUGCGUAGGCGGCAAAAUCAGUUUGGUGUGAAAGCUCCGGGCUCAACCCGGAAAAGGCACUGAAUACUAUUUUGCUAGAGGAUCGGAGAGGAGACUGGAAUUCUCAGUGUAGCAGUGAAAUGCGUAGAUAUUGAGAGGAACACCAAUGGCGAAGGCAGGUCUCUGGACGAAUCCUGACGCUGAGGCACGAAAGCUAGGGGAGCAAACAGGAUUAGAUACCCUGGUAGUCCUAGCCGUAAACGGUGCGCAUUUGCUGUGGGUGGAAUCGACCCCAUCCGUGGCGGAGCUAACGCGUUAAAUGCGCCGCCUGGGGAGUACGGUCGCAAGAUUAAAACUCAAAGAAAUUGACGGGGGCCUGCACAAGCGGUGGAGUAUGUGGCUUAAUUCGAUGCAACGCGAAGAACCUUACCUGGCCUUGACAUGCAAGUAGUAGAAACCUGAAAGGGUGACGAGGUAGCAAUACCAGCUUGCACAGGUGCUGCAUGGCUGUCGUCAGCUCGUGUCGUGAGAUGUUGGGUUAAGUCCCGCAACGAGCGCAACCCUUGUGUCCUGUUGCCACCCGAACGAGAGUUCGGAGCACUCUGGACAGACUGCCUCAUUUAAAUGAGGAGGAAGGUGGGGAUGACGUCAAGUCAGUAUGGCCCUUACGGCCAGGGCUGCACACGUACUACAAUGCCUGGUACAACGGGAAGCAAGACCGCAAGGUGGAGCAAAUCUCUAAAAACCAGGCCCAGUUCGGAUUGUCGUCUGCAACUCGACGGCAUGAAGUUGGAAUCGCUAGUAAUGGCGCAUCAGCUACGGCGCCGUGAAUACGUUCCCAGGCCUUGUACACACCGCCCGUCACAUCAUGAAAGUCGGUUGUACCCGAAGUCACUGUGCCAACCGCAAGGGGGCAGGUGCCGAAGGUAUGGCCGGUAAUUGGGAUGAAGUCGUAACAAGGUAGCCGUAGGGGAACCUGCGGCUGGAUCACCUCCUUA
rnacentral:rRNA from 1 species